rnacentral:misc_RNA from 1 species
AACCAUAGAAACCUGCGGAGUACCUGCGGAGGGAUCAUUAUAGUAUAUGGAAUCUCCAUUCUAUAAACCCACUCUGCGUAUCUUGUAACUGUUGCUUCCAUGGGACUUGGUUCCGCCACACCGGCUUCACGGCUGGUGAGCGCCCAUGGAAGGAGAAACAAAACUCUUCUUUGAAAUGUAGUCAGUCUAAACAAGUUUUUAUAAACGUUAAAACUUUUAACAAUGGAUCUCAGAUCGGAA